UUGGUCAGCGCCUUCUCGAGACCGCUGUUAUGGAGGGGGGCUGACUCGUGGGGCCCCACAGCACAGAGCCAGAAGCCCAGAGCAGAGGCGAAAGGUUAUCGUUCUCUUCACAGCAGUCGCAACGGCGCGCAUGGCGGCGGCGGCGGCGGGGCUCCGCUGCUGCUUCCCCGGCUCCUCCGCGAUUGGUAGUGGCUUCGCGAAGCCCUCCUCCUCGGGGUGGGGCUGGUGCGCGGGGGCCGUAGCGGCGCCGUCGAGGGAGGCGGAGCCGGUCGCUUCGCUUGGGCAACGCACCCGCGUCGACUUCCCCAUCCUUCACCAGGAAUUUGAUGGUGCCAAAUUAGUUUACUUCGACAAUGGUGCAACAUCACAGAAACCUUCUAGUGUAAUGAAAACAUUAGAUGACUACUACCGAUCAUACAAUUCUAAUGUUCAUCGUGGUAUUCAUGCACUCAGCGCAAAGGCUACUGAUGCAUAUGAGAGCGCAAGAAGAAAAGUUGCAAAUUUUGUCAAUGCACCUAAUAGCAGAGAGAUCAUUUUCACUCGUAAUGCUACUGAAGCUAUCAAUUUGGUAGCUUAUUCAUGGGGCCUGUCUAACUUAAAACAAGGAGAUGAGAUUGUUCUUACAGUUGCGGAGCAUCAUAGUGCUAUUGUUCCAUGGCAAUUUGUUUCCCAGAAGACUGGUGCCACCUUGAAGUAUGUUGGGUUGACUAAAGAGGAGGUCCCAGAUAUUGAGCAAUUAAAAGGGCUUCUGUCAAACAAGACAAAGAUAGUUGUUGUCCAUCAUGUCUCAAACGUACUGGGUUCGAUGCUUCCUAUUGAGGAAAUUGUAACAUGGUCAAACAGAGUUGGAGCUAAAGUUCUUGUAGAUGCUUGUCAAAGUAUCCCCCAUAUGCCAGUUGAUGUUCAGAAACUUGGCGCAGACUUUCUUGUUGCGUCCUCGCACAAGAUGUGUGGCCCUACAGGCGUUGGAUUUUUGCAUGGAAAAAUUGACAUCUUGUCAUCUAUGGAGCCUUUCUUAGGCGGCGGUGAAAUGAUUGCAGAUGUGUUCCAAGAUAAGUCCACAUAUGCUGAGCCUCCCUCUAGAUUUGAGGCUGGAACUCCUGCAAUAGGAGAAGCUAUAGGAAUGGGAGCAGCAAUUGACUAUUUAACAUGCAUUGGCAUGGACCGGAUCCACGAAUAUGAGAAAGAGUUGGCGUCAUAUCUCUAUGAAAGCCUUAUUUCCGUUCCAAAUGUCCGGAUAUAUGGUCCAGCACCUUCCCAAACUGAUCACCGUGCUCCUUUAUGUUCCUUCAAUGUUGAGAAUAUUCAUCCCACAGAUAUUGCACAAAUUCUUGAUCUCCAGCAUGGUGUAGCAAUUCGGUCAGGGCAUCAUUGUGCUCAGAUUUUGCAUAGGACCCUUGGUAUCAAUGCAAGUGCCCGUGCAAGUCUUCACUUCUACAAUACAAAAGAGGAGGUGGAUGUCUUCGUUGAUGCUCUUAAAGCUACUAUUGAUGUCCUUACGUCCCAACACUAGUGCAGUGCAAUUUGCCCUAGGUUUUUGGUGUGCUUCUUGGGACCUCGGGGGUUGACAUACUUUGCUCAGAAAGUGACGGGUAAAAGAUAGUAAAAGAUUCAUACAGUCUGCAGAAGCAUACGAAAGAGAUUUGAGAAACCAAGGUAGCAUGGCAGAGUUGUGUAUACAAUAUCUGGUGAAUGUCCAUGUUUGGCAAGGCAGGGGGCGACUCGUCACAAGAAGGUUCUCAUUGAAGACUGAACUGCUAAAUUUGAGUGAAUAAAAAGUUACAUUUUUUUCUCCAGGAUCUCUACGAUGCAACAAGGACUCCCCUCGGAUGUCCAAAAUUGUAGCUUUAACAAUUUUCUGCCUGCCUCUCAUGAAUACGCCUCAAUGUAAGCAAAAUACCGAGUAUCUUCUUUCAAAUUUCAAACUAGACUAUAGAAAGAUAGAAACAA